GUUUUUGAAUCCAAAAGCCAUGCAAUACGAUUCAUAUGAAUUCAUUUUUCCCUUAUCAAUUACGAGUUCCUUCUUCAAUAUAGAAUUGCAGAGCAACCCGUUAUCCAUUAGACAUAUUUAAUAUUGACAAGACUAAAACAACUGGUAAUGCUAUUACAGUCGAGUACAAAGUACAAACAAGGUGACCAAGAGAAGGGGGAAAACCAUUUUUCAAACAGAAAUGAUAAAAUGAUAAAACAAAA
rnacentral:misc_RNA from 1 species